rnacentral:rRNA from 1 species
UACGUAGGUGGCAAGCGUUGUCCGGAUUUACUGGGCGUAAAGGGCGUGCAGGCGGUCUGUUAAGUUCAGGGUGAAAGCUCCCGGCUCAACUGGGAGAGGUCCUUGGAUACUGGCAGACUUGAGGGAGGUAGAGGAGAGUGGAAUUCCACGUGUAGCAGUGAAAUGCGUAGAGAUGUGGAGGAAUACCGAUGGCGAAGGCAGCCUCCUGGGCCAACACUGACGCUCAUGCACGAAAGCGUGGGGAGCAAACAGG